GUACGUACAAGCAGUGGGAGCCCCACCACUAAGCCAGUGGUGAACUCCACAUACGCAUCCUUUGCUGAGGAUACGGUUAACGGAGCGAAAGCGACGUUCAACCUCAAAAGAAGCAGAGGGGGCUUAGUGGUGGGGUGACUGCGUACCUUUUGUAUAAUGGGUCAGCGACUUAUAUUCUGUAGCAAGGUUAACCGAAUAGGGGAGCCGGAGGGAAACCGAGUCUUAACCGGGCGUUAAGUUGCAGGGUAUAGACCCGAAACCCGGUGAUCUAGCCAUGGGCAGGUUGAAGGUUGGGUAACACUAACUGGAGGACCGAACCGACUAAUGUUGAAAAAUUAGCGGAUGACCUGUGGCUGGGGGUGAAAGGCCAAUCAAACCGGGAGAUAGCUGGUUCUCCCCGAAAGCUAUUUAGGUAGCGCCUCGUGAAUUCAUCUCCGGGGGUAGAGCACUGUUUCGGCUAGGGGGUCAUCCCGACUUACCAACCCGAUGCAAACUGCGAAUACCGGAGAAUGUUAUCACGGGAGACACACGGCGGGUGCUAACGUCCGUCGUGAAGAGGGAAACAACCCAGACCGCCAGCUAAGGUCCCAAAGUCAUGGUUAAGUGGGAAACGAUGUGGGAAGGCCCAGACAGCCAGGAUGUUGGCUUAGAAGCAGCCAUCAUUUAAAGAAAGCGUAAUAGCUCACUGGUCGAGUCGGCCUGCGCGGAAGAUGUAACGGGGCUAAACCAUGCACCGAAGCUGCGGCAGCGACACUAUGUGUUGUUGGGUAGGGGAGCGUUCUGUAAGCCUGCGAAGGUGUCUCGUGAGGGAUGCUGGAGGUAUCAGAAGUGCGAAUGCUGACAUAAGUAACGAUAAUGCGGGUGAAAAACCCGCACGCCGGAAGACCAAGGGUUCCUGUCCAACGUUAAUCGGGGCAGGGUGAGUCGACCCCUAAGGCGAGGCCGAAAGGCGUAGUCGAUGGGAAACAGGUUAAUAUUCCUGUACUUGGUGUUACUGCGAAGGGGGGACGGAGAAGGCUAUGUUGGCCGGGCGACGGUUGUCCCGGUUUAAGCGUGUAGGUGUGUGUUCCAGGUAAAUCCGGUUCACUUUAACACUGAGGCGUGAUGACGAGGCACUACGGUGCUGAAGCAACAAAUGCCCUGCUUCCAGGAAAAGCCUCUAAGCAUCAGGUAACAUCAAAUCGUACCCCAAACCGACACAGGUGGUCAGGUAGAGAAUACCAAGGCGCUUGAGAGAACUCGGGUGAAGGAACUAGGCAAAAUGGUGCCGUAACUUCGGGAGAAGGCACGCUGAUAUGUAGGUGAAGUGGUUUACCCAUGGAGCUGAAAUCAGUCGAAGAUACCAGCUGGCUGCAACUGUUUAUUAAAAACACAGCACUGUGCAAACACGAAAGUGGACGUAUACGGUGUGACGCCUGCCCGGUGCCGGAAGGUUAAUUGAUGGGGUUAUCCGUAAGGAGAAGCUCUUGAUCGAAGCCCCGGUAAACGGCGGCCGUAACUAUAACGGUCCUAAGGUAGCGAAAUUCCUUGUCGGGUAAGUUCCGACCUGCACGAAUGGCGUAAUGAUGGCCAGGCUGUCUCCACCCGAGACUCAGUGAAAUUGAACUCGCUGUGAAGAUGCAGUGUACCCGCGGCAAGACGGAAAGACCCCGUGAACCUUUACUAUAGCUUGACACUGAACACUGGUCCUUGAUGUGCAGGAUAGGUGGGAGGCUUUGAAGCGCGGACGCCAGUUCGUGUGGAGCCAUCCUUGAAAUACCACCCUUUAAUGGCUGGUGUUCUAACGUAGACCCGUGAUCCGGGUUGCGGACAGUGUCUGGUGGGUAGUUUGACUGGGGCGGUCUCCUCCUAAAGAGUAACGGAGGAGCACGAAGGUUAGCUAAUCCUGGUCGGACAUCAGGAGGUUAGUGCAAAGGCAUAAGCUAGCUUGACUGCGAGCGUGACGGCGCGAGCAGGUGCGAAAGCAGGUC
rnacentral:rRNA from 1 species